UUGGAGGGCAAGUCUGGUGCCAGCAGCCGCGGUAAUUCCAGCUCCAAUAGCGUAUAUUAAAGUUGUUGCAGUUAAAAGGCUCGUAGUUGAAUUUCGGGAUUGGCACAUCGGUCGUGCCUUAAGGGGCAUGAACUGGUGUAGCCAAUUUCUCACCUUCUGGAGAACCGCGAUGUCCUUAAUUGGGUGCCGCGAGGAACCAGGACCUUUACUUUGAAAAAAUUAGAGUGUUUAAAGCAGGCAUUUUGCUUGAAUACAUUAGCAUGGAAUAAUAAAAUAGGACGGAUGAUUCUAUUUUGUUGGUUUCUAGGACCACCGUAAUGAUUAAUAGGGAUAGUUGGGGGCAUUAGUAUUCAAUUGUCAUAGGUGAAAUUCUUGGAUUUAUUGAAGACUAACUACUGCGAAAGCAUUUGCCAAGGAUGUUUUCAUUAAUCAAGAACGAAAGUUAGGGGAUCGAAGACGAUCAGAUACCGUCGUAGUCUUAACCAUAAACUAUGCCGACUAGGAAUCAGACGAUGUUAAUUCUUUAAUGACUCGUUUGGCACCUUACGGGAAACCAAAGUGUUUGGGUUC
rnacentral:rRNA from 1 species